CCUACGGGAGGCAGCAGUGAGGAAUAUUGGUCAAUGGGCUUACGCCUGAACCAGCCAAGUCGCGUGAGGGAAGACUGCCCUAUGGGUUGUAAACCUCUUUUGUCAGGGAGCAACGCCGGCUACGUGUAGCCGGACUGAGAGUACCUGAAGAAAAAGCAUCGGCUAACUCCGUGCCAGCAGCCGCGGUAAUACGGAGGAUGCGAGCGUUAUCCGGAUUUAUUGGGUUUAAAGGGUGUGUAGGCGGAAUGCCAAGUCAGCGGUAAAAUCGCGGGGCUCAACCUCGCUCCGCCGUUGAAACUGGCGGUCUUGAGUGGGCGAGAAGUAUGCGGAAUGCGUGGUGUAGCGGUGAAAUGCAUAGAUAUCACGCAGAACUCCGAUUGCGAAGGCAGCAUACCGGCGCCCAACUGACGCUGAAGCACGAAAGCGUGGGUAUCGAACAGGAUUAGAUACCCCAGUAGUC
rnacentral:rRNA from 1 species